GGACAUUUGGGCUGGGAUUCCUGUGCCUACUGAGCUGAUUAUCAGUCCUAUAGAACCACUGGCUCAGUUCAGCAGGAACAGGAGUCCAGUCCGCUCACGACU
ensembl:miRNA mir24a-3 microRNA mir-24a-3